rnacentral:tRNA from 1 species
UGGGUUGUAGCUCAAUGGUAGAGUGCUUGCCUCGCACACGCAUGGGGCCCUGGGUUUGAUCCUCAGCACCACAU